rnacentral:tRNA from 1 species
GCCCGAGUGGCGGAAUGGCAGACGCGGUGGACUCAAAAUCCAUUGCCGUACGGCGUGUGGGUUCGAGUCCCACCUUGGGCACCA